AUGAAUCAUGCCACAGGAUGCUGUUGACUGGAUUAUGAAAUAUCAACUGGUGGUGUACAAUGACACACAGAUCUAAGCGCUAAUACACCAUUUAUUAUUAGGUGAAGAUGAACUGAGUCAUCUUUAGCCAUGUUAUAUAGACUUUAAACAAGGGAUGUCCGAUAUUUACUUUUUACCGAUAUCCGAUACGCCAAUAUUGUCUAGACACGAUCCCGAUACCAACCGAUACCGAUAUAUGCAGCCGUUUGCAGUGGUGUGCUGUGUCAGAUUUGCCAUACAUUAGAUUUACUUUCACUUCAAAACCAUUUUUAGGUCACAUCAUCUGGGCUAAAACCCAGGCAUGGCGUUAGCAGUUUUUCAUUAUCGGAAAAAAAUACUCUUACCGAUAUUAAUGACAUAAUUAUGCUGAUAAUAUUGCUGGGCUGAUAUUAAACAAAGCUACUUUUAAUUGAUGACACAGAUUAGCCAAUCAACCAACAUCAGGUGACCAACCAACAAUCAACAAAACCAAUCGCACAACAAACAUUUUCUCUCUGGCCAAUCACUGAUCUUAUUUUUGUGUGUGUGUUGCAGCCUCGUGCGUGUGUCUGUAUUGGCGCAAAUCACACUAAUGGACUUGAAGUCCAUGAAUCCAAAGAUGGCUUCAUAAACCUGGAGCAGGCCAUCGUAGACGAGAACAACCAUCACAUCUGGAGGAACAUUGGUCUGGCCAUGAUGAGAGACCCCAGCAACCUGGUGGAUGUAC